GCCUACUAUUUUAGGAAUAGAACUUUAUUAUAAUAAAAAUAAAAAAAGAAUGCGAGCACAUACUCUUAUAUACGAGUAGAUCGCCCAUUCAAUUUAAUUUGUUGACUCGAAUUUUAAAUUAGUUGAAAAGAUAAAUAGAAAUUAAUCGGCACGUAUAGUAUCGUUAUUAUUUUUUAAUAUUUUAGGUACAUUUCACAGUUCUCUGCAAAAUGUUAUAGAUAAAAUACUAAAAAUAUAAAAAAAGAAUCUAAAUAAAAUCGACCUUUUUAAGGUUUUUAUUCACUCAUUACUAUUUCAGAUUGUCAUUAGUGAGAAAAUAGACAUUAAAAAUUUUUGCAAAAUACAUUAAAAUAAAGAUAGUUUUAAUAAAACAACAUUUGGAAUCGAUAGAAUAGACUUACAAAAUAUACCAAUUAUCCUUUUGUUUCAGGAAUUAAAUCAUAUUUAUUUUUAAUCAUAUUAUUAAUUUGAUAAUUGUCAUAGCUAUAAACAUAGCUAAUUUUUGUUUUUAAUUAUGCAUAAUUUCAUUUCCAAAUAUAUUCAGAUUAUUAAUUAAUUAAUUAAUGAAGAGGAGAAUUUUCGAUGUAUUUUACAAUUCUAUCAAUUCUAUCGAUUGUGUUAUUUUAUUAAAACAUAUUUUAAUUUAUUUUGCAAGAAUUUAUAUUACGUACUUUCUCGUUUUUGACAAACUGAGAUAGUGCUGAACAGAAACUUUAAAUCCAGCAAAUACCAAGUAACAUUAACACGUAUCUAUUAGUUAUAAUUUCCCACUCAACAAUGUAACUAUAAUAUGGCACAUGUGUUAUAUUAAUAGUUAUAUUGUUGAGUACAUUACUUGGUGUUUGCUUGAAGAAAUAUCUUUCCCAUUUAAUUCUAUAAUACAAAUGUUUCUGUCGAUGUUUGGGCAAAACAGUCGACGAACAAUCGAUCGUUCCUACAGAACGGUCCCACAACGCAAACGACAUUUCGCUCCGUUUACGCUCGUCGGAGGAAUCCCUCUGGAAGUUAUUGGGACAACAAGUACGUCAGCCCCCGGGCCGAAAACCGUCCACCGUGCAGCUCUCGGCGUGAGCGGAAAAAGAAUGAAACAGUAGUUUUCAUGAGAUUCCUCGAGAGAAGGUAACCCAGCCCGCCGGAGUAUCUCCCUCCUAAGUAUUCAGUUAACCGCGUACGUGCGAACUGAUCGCGCACCCCCCGGGUAGUCGCGGUCUCUCGCGGGAAGGAGAGACGAGAACAAGAAAGCGCCUUUACGAGGUCCCUCCGGCAAACCAGGUUCCUUACUAUUAUCGCAAAACAGAAGCGUUUCCACACGAAGCAAACGUUUUUACAGGGAUGAAACUGAUGCAUUCGGUGCGGCGACACGAUGUGAAUGCCUCAACAAUAUAUGUCUUUACGAGGAAUGCAUGCUGAAUACUCUUCAAGGUGAUGUCUAGAGAGAAACUGACGGUCUCUGUGGUAUACGGUGCACUAGAUGUCAUCGAGGGUUUUCUACUGGCGUGUUAACUCUGUCUAUCCAAACAAACGCGUUCUGACAUAAAUCCCCCCCAACUGCAAUUUCGAUUACCGCACGAAAAUCUCUCUUUUUGAGUAUUUAAUAAAAAUAAUCGUUGAAAAGAAA